rnacentral:rRNA from 1 species
CCUACGGGUGGCAGCAGUGAGGAAUAUUGGUCAAUGGACGCAAGUCUGAACCAGCCAUGCCGCGUGCAGGAAGACGGCUCUAUGGGUUGUAAACUGCUUUUAUACGAGGGUAAACGCAGAUCCGUGUAUCUGUCUGCAAGUACCGUACGAAUAAGGAUCGGCUAACUCCGUGCCCGCAGCCGCGGUAAUACGGAGGAUUCAAGCGUUAUCCGGAUUUAUUGGGUUUAAAGGGUGCGUAGGCGGUCGGAUAAGUUAGAGGUGAAAUCUCGAGGCUCAACUUCGGAAUUGCCUCUGAUACUGGUCGGCUAGAGAGUAGUUGAGGUAGGCGGAAUGCAUGGUGUAGCGGUGAAAUGCUUAGAUAUCAUACAGAACCCCGAUUGCGAAGGCAGCUUACCAAGCUAUGUCUGACGUUGAGGCUCGAAAGCGUGGGGAGCAAACAGGAUUAGAUACCCGGGUAGUC